CAUUAAUUUCGUAGUGCAGGUCAAGUUUGCUUGCGACCGUCCCCAGUGUGUUCUACUUCUCCUAAACAAGACAGUGUUCAAUUCAUUAGUUUACUAUUUUCCAGAGACUAAAUAGACUUUUGCCCAUCACCAUGGCUCAGAAGAAGGUAACCAUCGAAUACUGUGGUUCCUGAGGGUACUAUCCGCGCUACCGAGAGCUGCACGAGAUGAUCGAGUCAGCAAUCAAAGGCGUGGAUGUUAGUGGCAAGCGGGGCAGACCUAGUUCAUUCGAGGUUAAGUUGAAUGGCCAGGUCUUGUAUUCCAAGCUCAAAAAUGGAGGGUUUCCAGACUUAGAUGCUAUUGUGGAAGCCAUCGAGGACUACAAGGGUGAAGGCACUGUAACUCCAGUGGAGAAGAAAGCAGCGUCAUGUAUCAUCUUGUAAAGAGAAUGGACACCCCCCCCCCCCACAGGUUUACUGGACAGAAUA